GACGAACGCUGGCGGCGUGCUUAACACAUGCAAGUCGAGCGGAGCGGCGAACGGGUGAGUAACGCGUGAGUAACUGCCCCCCUCUCUGGGAUAAAAGUUGGAAUCGGCUGCUAAUACCGGAUAGCUGGGGAUGACUCGCGUCCUAUCAGCUUGGUGGUGGGGUAGUGGCCUACCAAGGCGACGACGGGUAGCCGGCCUGAGAGGGCGACCGGGCGCAUUGGGCUGAGGUACGGGCCAAACACAAACGGGAGGCAGCAGGGGGAAAUAUUACACAAUGGGGCAAACCCUGAUGCAGCAACGCCGCGUGCGGGAUGACGGCAUUGGGGUUGGAAACCGCUUUCAGCCAUGACGCGGUAGUGGCAGAAGAAGCACCGGCUAACUACGUGCCAGCCGCCGCGGUAAUAC
rnacentral:rRNA from 1 species